rnacentral:rRNA from 1 species
UAGCAUAAUCCUUWGUUUUUUWAAUGAAGACUGGAAUGAAAGGUUUAAUAAAAAAUGAGCUAUAUCAAUUUUAAAAUUUUUGAAUUUGUUUUUUUAGUAAAAAAACUAAAAUUUCAUAAAAAGACGAUAAGACCCUAUAAAGCUUUAUAGUUUAAAAAUAAAUAAUUAAUUAGAAUAUUUAAUUUAUUUUUUUUUUAUUAUUUGAUUGGGGGGAUUAAAAAAUUAAAAAAACUCUUUUUUUUUUUAUUAUUUUUUAAUAGUUUUUGAUCCUUUUUAAAGAUUAAAAAAAUAAGUUACUUUAGGGAUAACAGCGUAAUUUUUUUAAAGAGUUCUAAUCGAUAAAAAAGAUUGCGACCUCGAUGUUGAAUUAAGAAAAUAAUUAGGUGUAGAAGUUUAAUUUUU